GAUGAAGAACGCAGUGAAAUGCGAUAAGUAAUGCGAAUUGCAGAAUUCAGUGAAUCAUCGAAUCUUUGAACGCACAUUGCGCCCGCCAGUAUUCUGGCGGGCAUGCCUGUCUGAGCGUCAUUUCAACCCUCAUGCCCCUAGGGCGUGGUGUUGGGGAUCGGCCAAAGCCCGCGAGGGACGGCCGGCCCCUAAAUCUAGUGGCGGACCCGUCGUGGCCUCCUCUGCGAAGUAGUGAUAUUCCGCAUCGGAGAGCGAUGAGCCCCUGCCGUUAAACCCCCAACUUUCCAAGGUUGACCUCAGAUCAGGUAGGAAUACCCGCUGAACUUAAGCAUAUCAAUAAGCGGAGGA
rnacentral:misc_RNA from 1 species